rnacentral:rRNA from 1 species
CAAACCAAAGCUGGCGACCGGCGCACGGGUGAGUAACACGUACCCAACCUGCCUCAUACUCGGGGAUAGCCUUUCGAAAGAAAGAUUAAUAUCCGAUAGCAUAUAUUUCCCGCAUGGGUUUUAUAUUAAAGAAAUUCGGUAUGAGAUGGGGAUGCGUUCCAUUAGUUUGUUGGGGGGUAACGGCCCACCAAGACUACGAUGGAUAGGGGUUCUGAGAGGAAGGUCCCCCACAUUGGAACUGAGACACGGUCCAA